AAAAUGCGAUACCUGGUGUGAAUUGCAGAAUCCCGUGAACCAUCGAGUUUUUGAACGCAAGUUGCGCCCGAGGCCUUCUGGUCGAGGGCACGUCUGCCUGGGCGUCACGCCAAAAGACACUCCCCACCCACCUCGGGUGCGGACGUGGUGUUUGGCCCCUCGUGCAAAAGGGCGCGGUGAGCCAAAGUUGGGGCUGCCGGCGGUGCCGAUCACAGCACAAGGUGGAUGACGCAUGUUGUUCUCGGUGCUUUGUUCUGUACCGCUACCGGUGAUAUGGCCCUCAGGACCCAUGGACCGAAGCGCAAGUCGCUUGGACCGCGACCCCAGGUCAGUCGGGAUUACCCGCUGAAUUUAA
rnacentral:misc_RNA from 1 species